GGUGAACGCUGGCGGCGUGCUUAAGACAUGCAAGUCGAACGGCAGUCUUCGGACUGUAGUGGCGCACGGGUGAGUAACGCGUAACUGACCUACCCCAAAGUCGCGGAUAACGAUUCGAAAGAAUCGCUAAUACGUGAUGUGCUGUCAGAUUGUGUUCUGCCAGUAACGAUUGAUUGCUUUGGGAUGGGGUUGCGUUCCAUCAGCUAGUUGGUGGGGUAAGGCCCCCCAAGGCGACGACGGAUAGCCGGCCUGCGAGGGUGGCCGGCCACAGGGGCACUGAGACACGGGUCCCACUCCUACGGGAGGCAGCAGUUAGGAAUCUUCCACAAUGGGCGAAAGCCUGAUGGAGCGACGCCGCGUGAGGGAUGAAGGUCUUCGGAUCGUAAACCUCUGAAUCAGGGACGAAAGACACUUCGGUGGGAUGACGGUACCUGAGUAAUAGCACCGGCUAACUCCGUGCCAGCCGCCGCAGUAAUAC
rnacentral:rRNA from 1 species